GACGAACGCUGGCGGCGUGCCUAAUACAUGCAAGUCGAACGCAGUGGGGACGGGUGAGUAACACGUGGGUAACCUCCCAUCAGAGGGGAUAACACUUGGCCACAGGUGCUAAACCGAUACAGAUGGAUGGACCCGCGGUGCAUUAGCUAGUUGGUGAGGUAACGGCCCCCCAAGGGCACGAAGCAGAGCCGGCCUGAGAGGUGGAUCGGCCACACUGGGACUGGACCACGGCCCAGCCUCCUACGGGAGGCAGCAGUAGGGAAUCUUCGGCAAUGGACGAAAGUCUGACCGAGCAACGCCGCGUUAGUGAAGAAGGUUUUCGGAUCUUAAACCUCUUUUGUUAGGGAAGCGGUAUCUAACCAGAAAGCCACGGCUAACUACGUGCCAGCAGCCGCGGUAAUUC
rnacentral:rRNA from 1 species